UCUUCUACCUGAAAGAAAAAAAGAAAGAAAAAGUUCUUUCUUUUUUUAUACAUUAGUAUCCGCUUACGCAGUUACGCCAGACGACUCCCUAUCAAAUUCCAAUUAAAGAACGGCAAAGAAUCAUGAAACUAGGGUUUAGCAGGAGUUGGUGAUGCAUUCUGCCUCAGUUUGUUGUGAUUAUCAGUUGGAAUCAUAGCACAUUCGUACUACAUUGAGCUGGUAUUCCAGACAAAGUUUGCAAUAAAUGGCCAAUAAACUUCAAGAAAUGAAGUGCCCUAUUAAGUCUGAUUUCUUUGUAAAGAUUUCAGAGAAAAGACAGAAAACUGAGCAAUUAUGCCUUGGGUCAGCUGAAGAGAAUGACAAAGCUUCUUCCCCUCUGAGUUAGAUGCUA